UACGUAGGGGGCAAGCGUUGUCCGGAUUUAUUGGGCGUAAAGAGCGUGUAGGCGGCUUUACAGGUCCGUUGUGAAAACUCGAGGCUCAACCUCGAGACGCCGGUGGAAACCGUAAAGCUAGAGUCCGGAAGAGGAGAGUGGAAUUCCUGGUGUAGCGGUGAAAUGCGCAGAUAUCAGGAAGAACACCCGUGGCGAAGGCGGCUCUCUGGGACGGUACUGACGCUGAGACGCGAAAGCGUUGGGGAGCGAACAGG
rnacentral:rRNA from 1 species